GGCUUAGAGUUUGAUCAUGGCUCAGGAUGAACGCUGGCGGCGUGCCUAACACAUGCAAGUCGAGCGAAGCACUCCACUUCGAUUUCUUCGGAUUGAAGAGUGGUUUGACUGAGCGGCGGACGGGUGAGUAACGCGUGGGUAACCUGCCUCAUACAGGGGGAUAACAGUUAGAAAUGACUGCUAAUACCGCAUAAGACCACAGCACCGCAUGGUGCAGGGGUAAAAACUCCGGUGGUAUGAGAUGGACCCGCGUCUGAUUAGCUAGUUGGUAAGGUAACGGCUUACCAAGGCGACGAUCAGUAGCCGACCUGAGAGGGUGACCGGCCACAUUGGGACUGAGACACGGCCCAAACUCCUACGGGAGGCAGCAGUGGGGAAUAUUGCACAAUGGGGGAAACCCUGAUGCAGCGACGCCGCGUGAGCGAAGAAGUAUUUCGGUAUGUAAAGCUCUAUCAGCAGGGAAGAAAGUGACGGUACCUGACUAAGAAGCACCGGCUAAAUACGUGCCAGCAGCCGCGGUAGUACGUAUGGUGCAAGCGUUAUCCGGAUUUACUGGGUGUAAAGGGAGCGUAGACGGAUAGGCAAGUCUGGAGUGAAAACCCGGGGCUCAACCCCGGGACUGCUUUGGAAACUGUUUAUCUAGAGUGCUGGAGAGGUAAGUG
rnacentral:rRNA from 1 species